CACGUAGGGUGCAAGCGUUGUCCGGAAUUAUUGGGCGUAAAGAGCUCGUAGGCGGUUUGUUGCGUCGGCUGUGAAAUCCCGAGGCUCAACCUCGGGUCUGCAGUCGAUACGAGCAAACUAGAGUGUUGCAGGGGAGACUGGAAUUCCUGGUGUAGCGGUGAAAUGCGCAGAUAUCAGGAAGAACACCAAUGGCGAAAGCAGCUUUCUGGGACGGUACUGACGCUGAGACGCGAAAGCGUGGGGAGCGAACAGG
rnacentral:rRNA from 1 species